rnacentral:rRNA from 1 species
AUUGAACGCUGGCGGCAGGCCUAACACAUGCAAGUCGAGCGGAUGAAGGGAGCUUGCUCCUGGAUUCAGCGGCGGACGGGUGAGUAAUGCCUAGGAAUCUGCCUGGUAGUGGGGGAUAACGUCCGGAAACGGGCGCUAAUACCGCAUACGUCCUGAGGGAGAAAGUGGGGGAUCUUCGGACCUCACGCUAUCAGAUGAGCCUAGGUCGGAUUAGCUAGUUGGUGGGGUAAAGGCCUACCAAGGCGACGAUCCGUAACUGGUCUGAGAGGAUGAUCAGUCACACUGGAACUGAGACACGGUCCAUACUCCUACGGGAGGCAGCAGUGGGGAAUAUUGGACAAUGGGCGAAAGCCUGAUCCAGCCAUGCCGCGUGUGUGAAGAAGGUCUUCGGAUUGUAAAGCACUUUAAGUUGGGGGGAAGGGCAGUAAGUUAAUACCUUGCUGUUUUGACGUUACCAACAGAAUAAGCACUGGCUAACUUCGUG